GUAGGGAAUCUUGCGCAAUGGGCGAAAGCCUGACGCAGCCAUGCCGCGUGAAUGAUGAAGGUCUUAGGAUUGUAAAAUUCUUUCACCGGGGACGAUAAUGACGGUAUCCGGAGAAGAAGCUCCGGCUAACUUCGUGCCAGCAGCCGCGGUAAUACGAAGGGGGCUAGCGUUGCUCGGAAUUACUGGGCGUAAAGGGCGCGUAGGCGGAUAUUUAAGUCGGGGGUGAAAGCCCGGGGCUCAACCUCGGAAUAGCCUUCGAUACUGGAUAUCUUGAGUACGGGAGAGGUGUGUGGAACUCCGAGUGUAGAGGUGAAAUUCGUAGAUAUUCGGAAGAACACCAGUGGCGAAGGCGACACACUGGCCCGUUACUGACGCUGAGGCGCGAAAGCGUGGGGAGCAAACAGGAUUAGAUACCCGGGUAGUCC
rnacentral:rRNA from 1 species